rnacentral:rRNA from 1 species
CUACGGGUCGCUCCAGGCGAGAAAACUUUGCAAUGUGCGAAAGCACGACAAGGUUAAUCCGAGUGGUUUCUGCUAAAGGAACCUUUUGACAGUCCUAGAAACACUGUUGAAUAAGGGGUGGGCAAGUUCUGGUGUCAGCCGCCGCGGUAAAACCAGCACCUCAAGUGGUCAGGAUGAUUAUUGGGCCUAAAGCAUCCGUAGCCGGCUCUGUAAGUUUUCGGUUAAAUCUGUACGCUCAACGUACAGGCUGCCGGGAAUACUGCAGAGCUAGGGAGUGGGAGAGGUAGACGGUACUCGGUAGGAAGGGGUAAAAUCCUUUGAUCUAUUGAUGACCACCUGUGGCGAAGGCGGUCUACCAGAACACGUCCGACGGUGAGGGAUGAAAGCUGGGGGAGCAAACCGGAUUAGAUACCCCAGUAGUC